UGGGGAAUUUUGGACAAUGGGCGAAAGCCUGAUCCAGCAAUGCCGCGUGUGUGAAGAAGGCCUUCGGGUUGUAAAGCACUUUUGUCCGGAAAGAAAUCCUUGGGCUCUAAUACAGUCGGGGGGAUGACGGUACCGGAAGAAUAAGCACCGGCUAACUACGUGCCAGCAGCCGCGGUAAUACGUAGGGUGCAAGCGUUAAUCGGAAUUACUGGGCGUAAAGCGUGCGCAGGCGGUUUGCUAAGACCGAUGUGAAAUCCCCGGGCUCAACCUGGGAACUGCAUUGGUGACUGGCAGGCUAGAGUAUGGCAGAGGGGGGUAGAAUUCCACGUGUAGCAGUGAAAUGCGUAGAGAUGUGGAGGAAUACCGAUGGCGAAGGCAGCCCCCUGGGCCAAUACUGACGCUCAUGCACGAAAGCGUGGGGAGCAAACAGGAUUAGAUACCCUGGUAGUCCACGCCCUAAACGAUGUCAACUAGUUGUUGGGGAUUCA
rnacentral:rRNA from 1 species